rnacentral:lncRNA from 1 species
CCACAUUAAACAGCUAUAACUUGAGGUUCACAUGUCCAUAAUUUAUGGUUGUGUACUUUCUAGAAAGCUUACGAAAUUGUAAACAACUUUGUUAUAAACUUCUAGAGCUAAAUCUACAACUAACAAGGUCUUACAUAACAAACAAUGCAAUCCAGUCUGGGUUUAGACAGAAACUGGAACAGUACUUUAAACCACUAUAACUAAACAUAUGCUUAACCACAAAUUGUGCUAUUUAUCUUUUUGGAAAGCUUAUGAAAAGUACUACAACUCAUAUAUUUUCAUCCAGGCAUGAUUCACAACCUAACUGAGCCAAACAAUAUAAACAUGCAGAUCCACUCAGAAUAGGAGCAAAGCAACACAGAGCAUUUGUUAUUUUUAUAACUCUUAAUCUAUCAAGCCUAAAUUCACCAAACUUUUUCCAGACAUCAAAUAUAAUAUGAAAAGCUUGUCACAAUAUUUUCACAUUUAUUUUAGCAAUAAUACAGUGGUUAUGAAAAAGACAAAUAUAGCAAGCAAUUAAAACCGAACUGCAUAAAUCAAUUUUUACUGCUAAAACUGCAAACGAAACAUGGCAUAUUAUCGAUCUACUGCAUAGAGAAUUUCAUAAGGAUUAUAAAAAGUCCACAUUUGCUAUUUUACGACUUUUCUACGAAUUUCUAUGCAUUUCCAAAGUUUAACCACGAAAUCUGCAAAAACAAAACAAAAAGAAAAACACUUUUGCCUCGGGAACCCUGGAUCUUCCAUGAAUCACGCCACAGCCCACAAACACUAUUCAUAUGAGUCUUGGCUUCGCAUCUGGAACCCUGAGUUGUUUCAUAUUCUAACCCAAGGUCCUUUCUUCUGCCUGUUACGAACAGAGACCGAACCGGGAGAUGAAGGAGGACUCCGGCC